rnacentral:rRNA from 1 species
AUUGAACGCUGGCGGCAGGCCUAACACAUGCAAGUCGAGCGGAUGAAGGGAGCUUGCUCCUGGAUUCAGCGGCGGACGGGUGGGUAAUGCCUAGGAAUCUGCCUGGUAGUGGGGGAUAACGUCCGUACACGGGCGCUAAUACCGCAUACGUCCUGAGGGAGAAAGUGGGGGAUCUUCGGACCUCACGCUAUCUGAUGAGCCUAGGUCGGAUUAGCUAGUUGGUUGGGUAAAGGCCUACCAAGGCGACGAUCCGUAACUGGUCUGAGAGGAUGAUCAGUCACACUGGAACUGAGACACGGUCCAGACUCCUACGGGAGGCAGCAGUGGGGAAUAUUCGACAAUGGGCGAAAGCCUGAUGCAGCCAUGCCGCGUGUGUGAAGAAGGUCUUCGGAUUGUAAAGCACUUUAAGUUGGGAGGAAGGGAAGUAAGUUAAUACCUUGCUGUUUUGACGUUACCAACAGAAUAAGCACCGGCUAACUUCGUG